rnacentral:piRNA from 1 species
UAGUAGUCAUGAAACCGUGUU